rnacentral:rRNA from 1 species
AUUGAACGCUGGCGGAAUGCUUUACACAUGCAAGUCGAACGGUAGAGGGGGCAACCCCUCGAGAGUGGCGAACGGGUGAGUAAUAUAUCGGAACGUGCCCAGUCGUGGGGGAUAACGUAGCGAAAGUUACGCUAAUACCGCAUACGAUCUAAGGAUGAAAGCGGGGGAUCGCAAGACCUCGCGCGAUUGGAGCGGCCGAUAUCAGAUUAGGUAGUUGGUGGGGUAAAGGCUCACCAAGCCAACGAUCUGUAGCUGGUCUGAGAGGACGACCAGCCACACUGGAACUGAGACACGGUCCAGACUCCUACGGGAGGCAGCAGUGGGGAAUUUUGGACAAUGGACGCAAGUCUGAUCCAGCCAUUCCGCGUGCAGGAUGAAGGCCCUCGGGUUGUAAACUGCUUUUGUACGGAACGAAAAGGUCUCUCUUAAUACGGGGGACUCAUGACGGUACCGUAAGAAUGAGCACCGGCUAACUACAUGCCAGCCGCCGCAGUAAAAC